GACGAACGCUGGCGGCGUGCUUAACACAUGCAAGUCGAACGAAGUGGCGAACGGGUGAGUAACGCGUAAUCAACCUGCCCUUCAGAGGGGGACAACAGUUGGAAACGACUGCUAAUACCGCAUAUGAAAGGAGGGGAUUGAUUCUGUUUGGGAAGUUGGAGGGGAAACGGCCCACCAAGGCGAUGAUCAGUAGCCGGUCUGAGAGGAUGAACGGCCACAUUGGGACUGAGACACGGCCCAGACUCCUACGGGAGGCAGCAGUGGGGAAUCUUCCGCAAUGGACGAAAGUCUGACGGAGCAACGCCGCGUGAGUGAUGACGGCCUUCGGGUUGUAAAGCUCUGUUAAUCGGGACGCGGUACCGGAAUAGAAAGCCACGGCUAACUACGUGCCAGCAGCCGCGGUAAUUC
rnacentral:rRNA from 1 species